UCGGGACGGGCCCGGCGGAGGCAGCGGCAGCAGCGGCGGGGCUCCGCGGAGAGCGGAGCGCCAGGCAGGGCCCUCACGUGACGGCGCCGCCGCCCUUUUCCGCUGCCACUCGCCGCAGACAGGGGAGGGGUCUGGGCCGCUCCGGCCCGGCCGGGGCGGGCGGGGAGCGGCGGCAGCGCCCUGCGAGGGGCCGGCGCUGGCCGGGGGCGGUGAUGGAGCGGCUGGGGCGCGGUUCCCUCACGGAAUGGCGGGCGGGGGGAGUGUGAGCGGCCCUGAGGGCCUGAGGCGGCGCACGGAGACACUGCGAGCCCCAGCGAGCGGCGGGGCGGCCCCGGGCACCGCGGGGAUCCCGGGGGGUGAGCAGCGGAUCCCUGAGGAGUGCGGCAGGAUGGGACAGACCUGCGCCAUGGGUGGACUGUACAGCAUCCCGCAUCCAGCAAAGGUGGCCGAGGGCCGCGCUUGCUGCACUGGCUUGCAAGAGUUGUCGGGCUUAGGCUGCUUGACAGGAUCGAUUUCCUAGGUCCUUCACCUCCAGCGAUGGCAGUUCUCACACCCCUGGGUUAGGACCUCCACUCUUCCCAUGAAACUCUUGUUGAAUUGUUCGUCGUCUAGUGAGAGGCUUUCAGGUCCAGGGCUUACCAUGUUUUUAUUUCUGUUCUCCUGUGACAAUUUUUGGAGAGUCAUGCUUAAUAUGAUUCCUUGCCUCGAGAGAUGCUUGUGACAGUAGUUUUGUAUUGUGGCCAAUGACAGGACAUUCCACUUCACCAGGAAUCUUCUGCCCGCAUUGGAUAAGCAACAUUUAGCAUACAGUAUUGCCACACACCGUUAGGGAAAGGCUUUUUUUAUCCUUAAGCACAGAGCUAACACUUCACCUGGAUCCAUCUGCCAGUCUCUGAAGUUGUAACUGAAAUUAUAUGUGAUGCUCUGUAAAGGUUACAGUGCUGGUUGUAUUGGUUGAUGAAGGACAUUCAUGCAAGUAUAAACAAGGCACACACUGAAUGUGGAUACCUCUACUAUUGAAACAUAGCAAAUUCAUCAAAACAUUUUGAAAUUGGUUUUUGUGGUCAUUUUAGAGACAUAAUUCAGCAAUUUAGAGAAUGAGGUUUGUGACAAAACCUCACCGGUUACGUCAGUCAGGCCACAAUAUCUGAAAGGUCUUGAGACUGCUCUGAAGAGCAGUUGGUUCUGGGCUAGCUGUAGAGGUGAAAAUCUUCAUGUUUUUUCAUGCCUCGGUAUUAGAUAUAGUCAAAAUUACUCAUAGUGUAAUUCUAACAAAUUUUUUUUUUUUACAGAUACUCAUUUAUUUUCCCUUGUAAAUUUAAUUGUACAUUUCCAAAAGGAAAUUGGACACUGGAGCUGGCCCUGCUACCCAAUGGGAUUAUUUUUCAUUGCUUCUCUUAAAUAUGUCAGCUGUCCUCCUGAUUUUGUGUUCAGUGGCAAGUCUCAAACAAAAGAAGGCUUUUUUUUUUUUUUUUCAUUUUUCUGCUAUGUAUCUUUUUAUUUUUAAAAGUUUGCUUUGGCCAAAGCAAUUACCAAAUUUUGUGUGAAUAGGUGAAGUGUUUCUGUCUGCCUUAAAGCUGAUAAAUAUAAGAAUUUCCACCAUCUCCAUAUAUCACUCAUCUGGUAAUGUGUGGAAUAAAGACCAUCCGUUUGUGAGAGUGGUUUCUGGGAAUGAAGUGGUUCUGAUUACUGCAUGGGUGAAAACUCACAUAAAAUUGAGCAGUCUCUAGAAUUUUUGCAAGAAAUAUUAGAUUUUUCAAUAGUACUUAAGGCUCAUAGUGAUGGAAGUUUAAUAAGCAAUAUAUUGCAGAUACAGUAACAUAGUCUCAAAAAGUACAUUUCGGGCAUAUCCUCAUAAAAGGCUGGCAGAGGAUGUACAGAUAAAUUUUAAAAUAUUAAUUUAAUUGUACAAUGACUGAAGUCUUUUACAGUAUCCAGGGGUCAAAAAAAUACAUGAAAAAGUCUUGGAGGGUUUGUCCCAGUUCAAAGGUCUGUUACAUUGUUCUAAAAUCUGUUACAUCUUUUGCAAAGCUAUAUGAUUAUGAAAGGCAAUUCUUUAUUUUACAGGCAGUUUGGUAAUAGAAUAUUGUAUGUAAAAAUAUUGCUGCCUUGCUAAAAUUACCAGCUCAGAGGACAUUUGUUCUCGUCGCUAAAAGCCUGACCUGGGGCCACAAUUCGUUAUCCUGUGUGACUGUAGAAAAGUCACUUAAUCCUUCUGGGAAACAUUUUACUACUGAUAAAGAAUUUCACUUUUCUGUCUUGUCUAUUGAGAUUUACACAAUACAGGACCAGUUUAGCAGUGUUACGGGACCAGGCAGUACCUAACUUACUGGGUCUUCUGUCUCUGAAGGGGUGCUAAAGCAGCUCACUCCAUUGCAAAGACUUAUUUGUGCUAUAUAACAAUGUAUCUUAUGUUUCUGGUGAAAUUGUGGUGAUGCUAUAAACACAUGGUUAGCAGAACUUGACCUGAAUUCACACUGCAUAUCCAGAUGUUUCACAUUUGGGGAGGAACGAAGUAUUUGAGACUCAGAUCUGUAUUUCAGAGCACUAGCAGAGAUCAGAUCACAUUCUCUGUAGUUUAAGCAUGCAUUUUAGUGACAGUCGAAGAUCAUAGAAUCAUUACAGUUGGAAAAUACUUCCACGAUCAUCAAGUCCAACCUCUGACUUUUUCAACUAGACCAUAACACUAAGUCCAUGUCAAGUCGUUUCUUGAACACUUCCAGGGAUGGUAAGUCCACAACCUCCCUGGGCAGAUCUUAAGGAGAAGAAAACUUCAGCUGAAUGAGAUCUCCAGAGAGGAGAGCAUGAGAAGAGGCCAGAGUCAAGCAGCUGUAUUGCUGAAGGGAACAGAAAGACUGUGUUGAACUUUUCAGUGAGCGCCUUGUGAUGUACCCACUGGUGUCUGCAUGCAUCAUCCAUGUCCUCUGCUGGCUGGAGCCUCAGAGGCUCUUUAGUAUGUACCUUAAAUUCUAGUCACACUCCAGUGAGGGAAGAGGUGAAAAAGGAUUCCUGUAAGGAUUGUUAUGCUGGUAGAGCGGGGCAGAUUAAGGUUUUCAACUCAAAAAUGCUGUGGUUUGAAUACCUAGACUUGGUCCCUGCAGUUCAUGCUGAAACAAUGCAUAGGAUUUACAGACAGCCUAAGUCUGUUAUUAGUCCAGCACCCUUAAUUACUGGCUGCCGAAAAAGUAAAGUACUUUGUGCUUUGUUGUGCCAUUAACCAUUUUAUCGUUUUGGGACUGCAGGAUGCCCUUAACCUCCCUUUAAAUGGGUGGUUGUUAUGUCCCUGCCUCAGGAAAUCACCACUUGACACCGGCAAGCUGUCAUCUUGUCUCAACCUGCUAUUAGCCUGAGGGAGCAGUGUCCUCCAUGAGACUGCCAAAAUAUAGUAUAUUUCUUCUGCCGGAUUUUGAAGUUCUGUUGAAUAAAUAUAUUUCCUGAUAUGAAAACAAAGGCAGAAACAGGUGACUGCAUGUUGUCUAGUGCCCACGUGUAUAUACCACUGAACAUGACCAUCUGGAAUUGUGUGCACAGAGCCAGAAUGUUGGCUGAAUAUAUAAAGUAGUGAUUCACAUUAAUUUUCA